AAUCAGUGAACAACUAUUGUAUAUUAACGCAUAUAUAUGGAAUCUAGAAAAAUGGUACUGACGAACCUAUGUGCAAGGGCAGGAAUAGGGAUGCAGAUGCAGAGAACACACUCGUGGACACGGUGGGGGAAGGAGAGGGUGGGCCGCAUAGAGAGAGUGGCAUGGGAUCAUGCACGUUACCAUGUGCAAAACCGAGGCCAGUGGGAGUUUGCUCAUUACCAUAUGCAAAACAGAGGGCCAGUGGGAGUUUGCUCAAACAGGCGCUCUGUGAAAGCCUAGAGGCAGGGGAUGGGGUGGGAGGUGGGAAGGAGGUUCAAGAGGGAGGGGACGCAUGUUUACCUAUGGUUGGUUCAUGCUGCUGUGUGGCAGAAACCAGCAAAAUAUUGUAAAGCAAUUAUCCUCCAAACAAAAAUAAGCACAUUAAAAAAAAGAAAUCAAUGAUUUCUGUAAAAAUGAAAUUGAAUAAUACAUUUUUAGUAAGUAGCUAUUGUGGGUCCCACUGGGCCAGCACAGGGUGCCCCUUGGCAGUUCCUUAGCUCAGUUUCCCCGUCGUUAGCCAGGCAGUGAGAGAAAUAAAGGGCUGGCCUGCAGGGCUGGGGAGCGGGCAGCCAGUUAUUUUCGGAGUGCAGGUGCGUUUGGGGGGCAGGUUGGUCUGGGAAAAUAAGGCGGGAUGGCUGCAGACAAGGGGAGGCUGGUGGCUGAGAUCCCUUCCCCUUCAUUUUACAGAUGGGAGCCUGGCUUGGGGAGGAGAACAGAGCAAGGAGGGUACAGGGACCCGAGGGGCACUCGAGCCCAGGGUCAAGGAGACCCAGGAUGAGCCGCCCCGCAAGUUGCAGGCAUGACGCGCAUUCUGUGGCUGCCAAGGAAAACGGCCUGGACACAUGGCCCAGAUCAAGGUUGUUCUCCAGAGGGCCUGGAAUGGGGGUCGGCGUGCAUCUGCUGAGGAGUGUUCUUGGCACUGGGACUGGAGACGGACGGGGAGUGGGGCCAGCGAUCCGGCUUCCUUGGAGGAAGUUUGCAGAAUGUGGACAGAGCUGAAUUUCCUUCUGUGCGCCGAGCAGAAAGAGCUCUUGACAAGGAGGCUCCUGGUGAAGAGGCUCCUGUUCAGUUCCUGCAGCGUCCUGGGCAGCUGGGAGCCCCGGCCCCCAGCUUCUCUCAAACAUAGUAGGAUGCUACCAACACGGCACAAAGCUUUCCAACGUUAAUUGAUGAAGAUGGUAACUCCACGAUGCUAUGUCCACUCAUAGACGUCAACCACCUGGCUGUGGGGCUGGGAGUUCUAAAAUGCGAUCUCCGCAGCUGUGGUUAUAAUUGUUUCAUGUCACAUUGACCGGGCACGUCUACGAUUUUUAACACCAGUCUUUAAAAAUUUCAAUGACAUCUCUUGAGAGUUCAAUUGUGAGUGUAAAAAAAAAAAAAAUCAUUAAAGGUACAGUCAAGAGAUCAAUUUUCAGACUGUUUAAACAACACGGUAGCCAUCAGGCAGUGGAGGAAUCUGGAGACAUGACUAAGUUAAUCUCCUGAGUGGCCGCGCUUAGUGUACCGGGGGCAGGAAGAGAACUUAAAUGAAGUACGAGAAGACGGGCAAAGAGGGAUGAGGCGAGAGCCAGAGGAGACCAGGAAUGGGAAAGUGGGCCAUCUCCCGUCCCAUUGGAAAGUGUCCCUAACCUCGGGCUGACGUGGUCCCGUUUCCCGCGGGUUUGGCUGGAGGUGGGGGCGGAGAAGAAGAGCGGCCGGGAGCGCCACCAGGAGCGCCACCAGGAGCCACUUUUGUUCGGCGAUCCCGGCGCCGGGUCGCGGCGGGGCGGCAGUGCGCAAGCGCGG
ensembl:lncRNA